rnacentral:rRNA from 1 species
CCUACGGGCGGCAGCAGUGAGGAAUAUUGGUCAAUGGCCGGAAGGCUGAACCAGCCAUGCCGCGUGAAGGUCAGUGCCCUAUGGGCGUUAAACUUCUUUUGUGCGGGAGCAAUAAUGGUCACGUGUGGCCAGACGAGAGUACCGUACGAAUAAGCAUCGGCUAACUCCGUUCCAGCAGCCGCGGUAAUACGGGGGAUGCAAGCGUUAUCCGGAUUUAUUGGGUUUAAAGGGUGCGUAGGCUGUGAGGUAAGUCAGCGGUGAAAUGCCCCCGCUCAACGGGGUGAAGUGCCAUUGAUACUGCCUGGCUGGAAUGCGGAUGCCGUGGGAGGAAUGUGUGGUGUAGCGGUGAAAUGCAUAGAUAUCACACAGAACACCGAUUGCGAAGGCAUCUCACGAAUCCGCGAUUGACGCUGAUGCACGAAAGCGUGGGUAUCAAACAGGAUUAGAUACCCCAGUAGUC